UUUCCCUUGAACCAAAACGAACUAUGAAGAAAAUAGGAAGACAAAACAGUCUAAGAUCUCUUCUCUCUCUCUUUCUCUUUGGGUGCGAUCCCGUCUCUCUCUCUCUCUCUCUCAAUCAUUGGUUCAACUUAAAGAAGCUCACAUAUAAAUAAAGGAAAAACCAGUUAAUUGAAGGAUUGACUAAAUUUGGGCAGUGCUAUAAAUUUUCAAAGAAACCAUAUAUCCACUUGGAGAUAAAUGUCAGUGGCAUGCUCCAGAUGAUGUCAUAGCUUGUACUUCCACUUAAGAUUGGCAAACAGUCAAGAAGACCAAGAAAGAAGAGGAUUCAAUCUCAAGGAAAGAAGCGUCAUCAAUAUAGAUGCGAGAGGUGCAAACAGAUUGGUUACAGCAUCCGAUCAUGCUCGGCUGCCGUACCUCUUGAUAACACUACCAACCAACAACACCAUUCAACUGAAGGACCAUAAAUUGGUCUACGCUAUAUUAAGACAAUGGGGGCAUGUUAUGUGGUAUGCGUGUGUUAUGCAAUGUAGUAAAGAAUGCAAUUAGUAGCUCAACCGUGUAACAUGUGUUUUGGCAUAAUAGACGUUGGUUUUAUGUGUUGUUUUGUUGGAAAA